UACUAGAGUAGCACUCGCAUAUCAAUAAGCGGAGGAAAAGAAACUAACAAGGAUUCCCCUAGUAACGGCGAGUGAAGCGGGAAGAGCUCAAAUUUGAAAUCUUAAAGGGUUUCCCUUUACGAAUUGUAGUUUAAAGAAGUGUUUUCUGUUGAGGUUUUGGUAAAAGUUCUUUGGAAUAGGACAUCAUAGAGGGUGAGAAUCCCGUAUUUGACCUUUACUUUCAACUUUGUGAUACACUUUCAAAGAGUCGGAUUGUUUGGGAAUGCAGUCCAAAAUGGGUGGUAAAUUUCAUCUAAAGCUAAAUAUUGGCGAGAGACCGAUAGCGAACAAGUACCGUGAGGGAAAGAUGAAAAGAACUUUGAAAAGAGAGUUAAACAGUACGUGAAAUUGUCAAAAGGGAAGCGUUUGACACCAGUGUUGUUUAUCUGAAAAUCAAUUAAAGAACUGAUUAUGCUAAGCUGUUUAGACUUUAUCAGCUAUCUGUUUAGUUUUGAGCUUUUCUUUAAUGCACUUUUCAGUUAACAAGUCAACAUCAAUUUCUUUUGCUGUAAAAAAGCUUGAGGAAGGUGGCUUGAGAUUCGUCUUAAGUGUUUAUAGCCUCUUGCCUAUGCAGUCGGAGAGAUUGAGGUCUGCAGCGUAGAUCCUUCGGGGCUAAAUGCAUUUGUGCUAAGUUAUAGCAUUUUAUAGACAACUUGUUGACUAUGAUUUGUCUUGUAGCUUACUCGCUUAUGUUAUUUUACCUACGCUUAGGAUGUUGAUCUACAGAGCGAGAG
rnacentral:rRNA from 1 species